AUUGAACGCUGGCGGAAUGCUUUACACAUGCAAGUCGAACGGCAGCACGGGGCAACCUGGUGGCGAGUGGCGAACGGGUGAGUAAUACAUCGGAACGUGCCCAAUCGUGGGGGAUAACGUAGCGAAAGUUACGCUAAUACCGCAUACGAUCUACGGAUGAAAGCGGGGGAUCGCAAGACCUCGCGCGAGUGGAGCGGCCGAUGUCAGAUUAGGUAGUUGGUGGGGUAAAGGCUCACCAAGCCAACGAUCUGUAGCUGGUCUGAGAGGACGACCAGCCACACUGGAACUGAGACACGGUCCAGACUCCUACGGGAGGCAGCAGUGGGGAAUUUUGGACAAUGGGCGCAAGCCUGAUCCAGCCAUGCCGCGUGAGUGAAGAAGGCCCUCGGGUUGUAAAGCUCUUUUGUUGGGGAAGAAAAGCAGUUGGUUAAUACCCGAUUGUUCUGACGGUACCCAAAGAAUAAGCACCGGCUAACUUCGUGCCAGCAGCCGCGGUAAGCUACG
rnacentral:rRNA from 1 species